AAGUGGGAUCUCGGGAUUCAUCAAGGUCCAGCUCGGGGAGAAACAGUGGCCAGUGAGAUGCCUCUACAAAGCAGGGAGAGCCAAGUUCAGCCAAGGAUGGUACGAGUUCACUCUGGAGAACAACCUAGGAGAAGGUGACGUCUGCGUGUUCGAGCUCCUCAGAACCAGAGACUUCGUCCUGAAAGUAACGGCCUAUCGAUCCUCUUGUGAGUGAAACUCCAAAGAAGUGAAAAGUAAUUUGACUCUUUUUUAUAAGGUCUCUUUGCUUUGUUUAGAGUAAUAAGAAGUAAUUGACUUUUUUUUUCUUAAUAAGGUCUCUUUGUAUGUCUAUGUUACAAGACUCAUUGCUCGUUUUCGUAAGUUAAAAAGUGUUUUUGUGUGUGUAGAAGAAUAAACAUACAUUUAUGUUACAGUCCAUGAAAGUUUGUGGAUUAACAUGAACACAUAUUGAAAUACUAGUUGGUUCUCAGCUUACCAUAUAAAUAAGAUCAUAGGAGUGAUGACAUAAGCAGUCUAUUCAAAGAUAAAAAAUAUACAAUGUUCCAGGAAUAGUAAUGGACUGUGUCACACAGCCUUGGAAAUUGAAACAGUACAAUUUGGAUUGUGAUUUUAAUUUAGGCAAAAGCAGGCUGCUCUCCAGCAAUAUAUCUUUGCCAUUUAGCAUUAUAUAUCUUGUAAAUCUUUUUUUUUUUAAAUUCCUGGUAUGGUUUGUGCAGAGAGUUCCAGAUAAGUUUGUGAGUAAAUUCAAGGACGAGCUAUCCGUCGCAGUUGCACUCACAGUACCUGACGGUCACGUCUGGCGUGUAGGACUAAGAAAAUCCGACAACAACAAAAUCUACUUUCAAGAUGGUUGGCAAGAGUUUGUCGACCGUUACUCAAUCCGCAUUGGCUAUCUUCUCAUCUUCAGAUACGAAGGCAACUCUGCCUUCAGCGUCUACAUUUACAACUUAUCACACUCCGAGAUCAACUACCAUUCCUCCGCUCUCAUGGACACCGCACACACCCACCUCAAACGCGCACGUUUGUUUGAAGACCUCGAAGAUGAAGACGCCGCCGAGGUUGUUUAUCCUUCUUCUUCUGUGUAUCCGUCAUCACAACAGCAUCCUGAAGUUACUGUGGCCGCUAUUAAAGGGUACGCUAGUCCAGCUAUCCAGAGCUUCUUCGCUGGACCACCUGUUAAAGCUGAAGAGGCGACACCAACUCCUAAAGUUACUAAGAAGAGAGGGAGGAAGAAGAAGAACGCUGUUCCUGGUAAAGCCUUUUUCCUCUCUUUUUAAACUCUUGUUUCAUACUUGGAUUGAUGUGAUGAUUGGUGUGAUCCAUCCAGAGGAAGUAAACUCAUCUGCUCCGAGGGAUGAUGACCCGGAGAGCCGUUCAAAGUUCUACGAGAGUGCUUCUGCGAGAAAGAGAACGGUGACUGCAGAAGAGAGAGAGAGAGCCAUCAAUGCAGCUAAAACGUUCGAGCCAACAAACCCUUUCUUCAGAGUUGUUCUCCGACCAUCUUAUCUAUACAGAGGCUGCAUCAUGGUAAAGCCAAAAACAUCUCAAAGUCAGCUCAUUAUGACGUCUUUUAAAAAGCUCUCUUUUUGUUGUUGUGUGUUUCCUUUGAACAGUAUCUGCCUUCUGGAUUUGCUGAGAAGUACUUAAGUGGGAUCUCGGGAUUCAUCAAGGUCCAGCUCGGGGAGAAACAGUGGCCAGUGAGAUGCCUCUACAAAGCAGGGAGAGCCAAGUUCAGCCAAGGAUGGUACGAGUUCACUCUGGAGAACAACCUAGGAGAAGGUGACGUCUGCGUGUUCGAGCUCCUCAGAACCAGAGACUUCGUCCUGAAAGUAACGGCCUAUCGAGUCAACUCAAUCUAGUACUAGUAGUUUACUUCGGUGUGUUCCUUAUCGGUCUGCGGUGGGGAUAUCAAACUGCAAUUUCGUGUAUUCUUAAUUUUUAAACAACUAAACUCUCUCAAUCUCUGUGUCAUUGCGUCAGUGUGUUUUUUUUUUCCUCGAUGUGGAUAAGUUGUUUUAUGAUUUUUAUCAUAAUAUGUAACCUCUGGAGUGGUGUUUGACUUAGAAGUUAGGUUUAAGAAGAUUGUAGAUACCUAAUCUCCAUCAACUUUGGUAUUGAUACUU
rnacentral:lncRNA from 1 species